CUGACACUGAAGUGGUUUCUAAAAGCUCCUGACAGAGCUGAAGCCUAUGCUAGGUGCCACACACGGUUUAGGAACAUUCCUAAACACAGUAAGGAGGAAGAAGGAAUAGAUGGAUGCUUGUGUGGGCAGCGCUGCCGUCUAGCUUGCUAGGCACAGCAUUAUCAGGACUCUGUGUGGCAGCCAGCGUAAGUUUGGUUUGGUUUGUUGUUAUUUCUCUGUGUGUAACUGUUUCUUGUUCCUAGGAUCAGCGGGAUGCCACCAUUAGGAUCCUGCAGCCAUAGCAAGGUCUUGGUAAUUGGGAAAAGUUCCUGAUGAUUGAAGAAAGGACAAAUGUCAUUCUUGUUGUUAGGAAUGGCAGUGAGGAUCCAUGCAGCUACCAGCUGGUCAGCCUUAACUCAGUCCCUGAAGAGUGGACAGCACAUCCUUCUGGAAGCUAUUUCAAAGCAUGUGAAGGACAAGAAAAUGACUGGGAACAGCCAUCAGGGAUUUACCAAUGACCAACCUUCUACAGUGAAGCAACAGCCUGGGUGGACAACAGGAGGGCGCUUGGUGUUGUAUUGAUUGAUAGUAGCCUUGACUUUGUCGUGACAUGGUCUCCCAGCGGUCUACUUGUAGCCAAGUUGGUGACAUUUGGACUGGGUAAGUGGAGUGUGAAGUGAGUGAGAAACGGGGUGGAUGGUUGGGCUGAAGGGGUCAUAUCAGCUAUAUGCAGCCCAACUGGCAACUAGCUGCUAUGGGGUCCUUCGGGAAAGGGGCCUCCCUCUCAGUAGCAAGGUGCUGGCAACACAACUGCAUGAAGAUGUGUCUGUUGCCACCAGAAGCUGGAGGGUGUGUGUGUGUGAAUAAGGCAGCUUGGAGGAAAUCCUGCUGAGAGGGCUCUUGACUUCAUUACCUAUUAACCUACAUUUCCUCCUCCUGUUUCACCGGUGAUGAAGCCUAAAUGCAAAACCUGCUAUUGACAAGUGUAUGGGAUAUGUGUCUGGUCAUUGGAGUUUUCAGCAGAAGCAUCUGGCUGCUGCUGGGAAUUCCUCACCUCUGAGUGACAAGAGCUACUGAGCACCUGUAGCCGGGUUGGCAUAGUGGAGGUUGUAUGGGAACCGUGCCUACAGCCACCCCUCCUGGCAUUCCUUCAUGGGCUCUUAAGGUUUACUGCAGAGGGAGUAGUCUUACACAUACAACAUUUGCUCCUCCAUCUCUGCAUUGACACAGAUGAUCACUGCAGAGACCACAGACACGUUCUGUUAUGGGAUGGAGGAUUCCAGACAGAAAGUACCAAAUGGGCAGGAAGUUCCCAGUUACAUGCACAGCACAGGGAUGCUGUCUGCGAGCUUUAUUUUAACGUGAUUGAUAAAUAUUGGGGAGCCACCUGAAUGGGAGUGCCCUUCAUGAAGACUGGCAUUAAUGGAGCAGAGGGAAGACCCAGCAGAGCCAGUUAUCAGGUGUGCUGUGGUAAAGCGUUUCCCACAUAAUGAGGGUGGCUUCAGGAUCCUGGAUCGAGCCGCUAUGUAAAUUCUCCCGUACAAGAUGAGGAGGAGCACAGUUGGGAUGUAAAAAGCUCCACAAGUGGAAUAAAUCGUGUAGGAAA